rnacentral:rRNA from 1 species
ACGUAGGGUGCGAGCGUUAAUCGGAAUUACUGGGCGUAAAGCGUGCGCAGGCGGCUUUGCAAGACAGAGGUGAAAUCCCCGGGCUCAACCUGGGAACUGCCUUUGUGACUGCAAGGCUAGAGUACGGCAGAGGGGGAUGGAAUUCCGCGUGUAGCAGUGAAAUGCGUAGAGAUCCGGAGGAACCCCGGUGGCGAAGGCGACUUACUGGGCCUGAACUGACGCUCAGACGCGAAAGCAUGGGGAGCGAACGG